rnacentral:rRNA from 1 species
GGGUUGUGAGGUUAAGCGACUAAGCGUACACGGUGGAUGCCCUGGCAGUCAGAGGCGAUGAAGGACGUGCUAAUCUGCGAUAAGCGUCGGUAAGGUGAUAUGAACCGUUAUAACCGGCGAUUUCCGAAUGGGGAAACCCAGUGUGAUUCGUCACACUAUCAUUAACUGAAUCCAUAGGUUAAUGAGGCGAACCGGGGGAACUGAAACAUCUAAGUACCCCGAGGAAAAGAAAUCAACCGAGAUUCCCCCAGUAGCGGCGAGCGAACGGGGAGCAGCCCAGAGCCUGAAUCAGUGUGUGUGUUAGUGGAAGCGUCUGGAAAGGCGCGCGAUACAGGGUGACAGCCCCGUACACAAAAAUGCACAUGCUGUGAGCUCGAUGAGUAGGGCGGGACACGUGGUAUCCUGUCUGAAUAUGGGGGGACCAUCCUCCAAGGCUAAAUACUCCUGACUGACCGAUAGUGAACCAGUACCGUGAGGGAAAGGCGAAAAGAACCCCGGCGAGGGGAGUGAAAAAGAACCUGAAACCGUGUACGUACAAGCAGUGGGAGCACAGAGCAAUCUGUGUGACUGCGUACCUUUUGUAUAAUGGGUCAGCGACUUAUAUUCUGUAGCAAGGUUAACCGAAUAGGGGAGCCGAAGGGAAACCGAGUCUUAACUGGGCGUUAAGUUGCAGGGUAUAGACCCGAAACCCGGUGAUCUAGCCAUGGGCAGGUUGAAGGUUGGGUAACACUAACUGGAGGACCGAACCGACUAAUGUUGAAAAAUUAGCGGAUGACUUGUGGCUGGGGGUGAAAGGCCAAUCAAACCGGGAGAUAGCUGGUUCUCCCCGAAAGCUAUUUAGGUAGCGCCUCGUGAAUUCAUCUCCGGGGGUAGAGCACUGUUUCGGCAAGGGGGUCAUCCCGACUUACCAACCCGAUGCAAACUGCGAAUACCGGAGAAUGUUAUCACGGGAGACACACGGCGGGUGCUAACGUCCGUCGUGAAGAGGGAAACAACCCAGACCGCCAGCUAAGGUCCCAAAGUCAUGGUUAAGUGGGAAACGAUGUGGGAAGGCCCAGACAGCCAGGAUGUUGGCUUAGAAGCAGCCAUCAUUUAAAGAAAGCGUAAUAGCUCACUGGUCGAGUCGGCCUGCGCGGAAGAUGUAACGGGGCUAAACCAUGCACCGAAGCUGCGGCAGCGACGCUUAUGCGUUGUUGGGUAGGGGAGCGUUCUGUAAGCCUGUGAAGGUGUACUGUGAGGUAUGCUGGAGGUAUCAGAAGUGCGAAUGCUGACAUAAGUAACGAUAAAGCGGGUGAAAAGCCCGCUCGCCGGAAGACCAAGGGUUCCUGUCCAACGUUAAUCGGGGCAGGGUGAGUCGACCCCUAAGGCGAGGCCGAAAGGCGUAGUCGAUGGGAAACAGGUUAAUAUUCCUGUACUUGGUGUUACUGCGAAGGGGGGACGGAGAAGGCUAUGUUGGCCGGGCGACGGUUGUCCCGGUUUAAGCGUGUAGGCUGGUUUUCCAGGCAAAUCCGGAAAAUCAAGGCUGAGGCGUGAUGACGAGGCACUACGGUGCUGAAGCAACAAAUGCCCUGCUUCCAGGAAAAGCCUCUAAGCAUCAGGUAACAUCAAAUCGUACCCCAAACCGACACAGGUGGUCAGGUAGAGAAUACCAAGGCGCUUGAGAGAACUCGGGUGAAGGAACUAGGCAAAAUGGUGCCGUAACUUCGGGAGAAGGCACGCUGAUAUGUAGGUGAAGUCCCUCGCGGAUGGAGCUGAAAUCAGUCGAAGAUACCAGCUGGCUGCAACUGUUUAUUAAAAACACAGCACUGUGCAAACACGAAAGUGGACGUAUACGGUGUGACGCCUGCCCGGUGCCGGAAGGUUAAUUGAUGGGGUUAGCGCAAGCGAAGCUCUUGAUCGAAGCCCCGGUAAACGGCGGCCGUAACUAUAACGGUCCUAAGGUAGCGAAAUUCCUUGUCGGGUAAGUUCCGACCUGCACGAAUGGCGUAAUGAUGGCCAGGCUGUCUCCACCCGAGACUCAGUGAAAUUGAACUCGCUGUGAAGAUGCAGUGUACCCGCGGCAAGACGGAAAGACCCCGUGAACCUUUACUAUAGCUUGACACUGAACAUUGAGCCUUGAUGUGUAGGAUAGGUGGGAGGCUUUGAAGUGUGGACGCCAGUCUGCAUGGAGCCGACCUUGAAAUACCACCCUUUAAUGUUUGAUGUUCUAACGUUGACCCGUAAUCCGGGUUGCGGACAGUGUCUGGUGGGUAGUUUGACUGGGGCGGUCUCCUCCUAAAGAGUAACGGAGGAGCACGAAGGUUGGCUAAUCCUGGUCGGACAUCAGGAGGUUAGUGCAAUGGCAUAAGCCAGCUUGACUGCGAGCGUGACGGCGCGAGCAGGUGCGAAAGCAGGUCAUAGUGAUCCGGUGGUUCUGAAUGGAAGGGCCAUCGCUCAACGGAUAAAAGGUACUCCGGGGAUAACAGGCUGAUACCGCCCAAGAGUUCAUAUCGACGGCGGUGUUUGGCACCUCGAUGUCGGCUCAUCACAUCCUGGGGCUGAAGUAGGUCCCAAGGGUAUGGCUGUUCGCCAUUUAAAGUGGUACGCGAGCUGGGUUUAGAACGUCGUGAGACAGUUCGGUCCCUAUCUGCCGUGGGCGCUGGAGAACUGAGGGGGGCUGCUCCUAGUACGAGAGGACCGGAGUGGACGCAUCACUGGUGUUCGGGUUGUCAUGCCAAUGGCACUGCCCGGUAGCUAAAUGCGGAAGAGAUAAGUGCUGAAAGCAUCUAAGCACGAAACUUGCCCCGAGAUGAGUUCUCCCUGACUCCUUGAGAGUCCUGAAGGAACGUUGAAGACGACGACGUUGAUAGGCCGGGUGUGUAAGCGCAGCGAUGCGUUGAGCUAACCGGUACUAAUGAACCGUGAGGCUUAACCUUACAACGCCGAAGGUGUUU